GAUGAACGCUGGCGGCGUGCCUAAUACAUGCAAGUCGAGCGAACAGACGAGGAGCUUGCUCCUCUGACGUUAGCGGCGGACGGGUGAGUAACACGUGGAUAACCUACCUAUAAGACUGGGAUAACUUCGGGAAACCGGAGCUAAUACCGGAUAAUAUAUUGAACCGCAUGGUUCAAUAGUGAAAGACGGUUUUGCUGUCACUUAUAGAUGGAUCCGCGCCGCAUUAGCUAGUUGGUAAGGUAACGGCUUACCAAGGCAACGAUGCGUAGCCGACCUGAGAGGGUGAUCGGCCACACUGGAACUGGGACACGGUCCAGACUCCUACGGGAGGCAGCAGUAGGGAAUCUUCCGCAAUGGGCGAAAGCCUGACGGAGCAACGCCGCGUGAGUGGUGAAGGUCUUCGGAUCGUAAAACUCUGUUAUUAGGGAAGAACAAAUGUGUAAGUAACUAUGCACGUCUUGACGGUACCUAAUCAGAAAGCCACGGCUAACUACGUG
rnacentral:rRNA from 1 species